CGGUUUGUCGCGUCUGCCGUGAAAGUCCGGNGGCUCAACUCCGGAUCUGNCGGUGGGUACGGGGCAGACUAGAGUGAUGUAGGNGGAGACUGGAAUUCCUGGUGUAGCGGUGAAAUGCGCAGAUAUCAGGAGGAACACCGAUGGCGAAGGCAGGUCUCUGGGCAUUAACUGACGCUGAGGAGCGAAAGCAUGGGGAGCGAACAGGAUUAGAUACCCUGGUAGUCCAUGCCGUAAACGUUGGGCACUAGGUGUGGGGGACAUUCCACGUUUUCCGCGCCGUAGCUAACGCAUUAAGUGCCCCGCCUGGGGAGUACGGCCGCAAGGCUAAAACUCAAAGGAAUUGACGGGGGCCCGCACAAGCGGCGGAGCAUGCGGAUUAAUUCGAUGCAACGCGAAGAACCUUACCAAGGCUUGACAUGAACCGGUAACGCCUGGAGACAGGUGCCCCGCUUGCGGUCGGUUUACAGGUGGUGCAUGGUUGUCGUCAGCUCGUGUCGUGAGAUGUUGGGUUAAGUCCCGCAACGAGCGCAACCCUCGUUCUAUGUUGCCAGCACGUGAUGGUGGGGACUCAUAGGAGACUGCCGGGGUCAACUCGGAGGAAGGUGGGGACGACGUCAAAUCAUCAUGCCCCUUAUGUCUUGGGCUUCACGCAUGCUACAAUGGCCGGUACAAAGGGUUGCGAUACUGUGAGGUGGAGCUAAUCCCAAAAAGCCGGUCUCAGUUCGGAUUGGGGUCUGCAACUCGACCCCAUGAAGUCGGAGUCGCUAGUAAUCGCAGAUCAGCAACGCUGCGGUGAAUACGUUCCCGGGCCUUGUACACACCGCCCGUCAAGUCACGAAAGUUGGUAACACCCGAAGCCGGUGGCCU
rnacentral:rRNA from 1 species